rnacentral:lncRNA from 1 species
UUGCAUGUUGACGGAACUCCACAUUUAACUAUUUGGUUCACUCCCAUUUAUUUACACAACAAUGUUAAAUGUUGUUAAACAUGGCACAAGGUUAAGCAUAAACUAAACGACCUAUCUAGGUAUUCUAAAUGAGGCUGGAAACGACAUAUAACAUCUUCGAACAGACCCCAUGUGUUAAAUUCUAAAUCUGUCUAGAUUUGUCC